rnacentral:lncRNA from 1 species
UCUUCUUCACACAAAAAUCAGUGAAACACAUUACCCUUCCUUCUCAUUUUCAACUCCUCUCUCCAUAAAAGAAGCAAUCCAAGGCAGCAGCAGCUUUGUAGGACUUCUCCAUAAGGCUGCUGAGAAGCAUCAGGCCUGUGUGUUCCUUUGAACAUCUCAAGCUGCCUUGAAGAUUCAUAAAGUGUAACUCAUGUCUUGGUUCUUCUAUCUUGUUAUUGUUCUUUGUUUUCUUGUAUUAGAUUUCAAAGUUGGAAUUGGCUGGUUGUUAAGAACAUGAACAUGUUAAUUUUCAGAAUAAAUUCAAGCAUAUUUCAACUUGUCUAUGAUAGCAUGUGAUUCAUUUUUUAUGCUGUGUUGAUUUCAUUAAAUGCAUAGUUUUGUUUGAACUAAAACUCUAAUCUGCAGGUUAGUGUUUGCUAUGAUCUAUACUAAGCUUCUUCAAGUAAGUGUAGAUCUCAAGUAGUAAAGGUUAUGUAAUCAUAGCCGAAACUAUGUGUUACAUGCUUACAGGUUAAGCAGCUUCCUGUAAACUUGGGCAUGUUCAAAUUCAGAAUUCUAUAGAUCUUAAUGAUUCAUGUUUAGUGUAGACGGGUACUUUGAGUGACACAGAGUAUCGAUCGCAGCCUUUGCAUAAAAUAUCCUAGGUUCUAGACUUCUCUGUGCUUAGGAGAUAAAGUAAGUAGAAUUAAAGGAAUGCAUGACCGCUGCGGCUUGUGUUUCGAGUUUGUUUUUGAUAUCACUUGGCGAUGAACUUGAAUAUAUGUUUGAGGCAUGUUGAUACUUGUUUAAUUCAUUCUGAAAUCUUUGGUUGAUGUGUGUUGAAGAUGAUCACUUGUAUAUAUUAGUUUAGUUUAUCUUUAUCUUUUAGAAGGAAUUUAGAAUCAAACUUUCACACCCCCCAUUUUUACCUUGUAUCAUAUGUAUAUUUGUAAAUAAAUACUUGUAUAUAUCUUUAUGUUAGCUACUGACUUUUUACAUGACAGUGUUACAGGAGCACCCUUAGUCCCCGGAUUGAUCGAACCCUAUUUGCCAAUACUACAUUCUGAUAAAAAAGGGUUUUAAUUGUCACACCCGGUUUUCGGUGUACGUCAUUGAACUUUGUUUGUUCUCAAACAAAUUAAAUAAAACAUAAACCGAAAACUACUAACUUAAACACACAAAUGCAAAUUAGUGGUGCUAGCAAGUCUUUCCAACCAUAUCCUCGGGGAACUAAAUUAUGUAAAUGACAAUGAAUUGAUCAAGCAUAUGUAUAGGUCUCAAAAAUUUAUUAGGUAAUUAAUAUAUAACAUGUAAAAGAUGUUUAUGUGCUAGCCAUGUGUCAAACCAAUUUACGACAAGUAAGUACAACAUACUAAACUUGGAUUAACCGCUAAACUCACAAGGAUGCACUAAAUAUUUCCGCUCAAGUGUUUAUGGCUAAUUGUGUUUCACUUGAUAACAAUUUCGCAAAUUAGGUCUCUAUAGGCUUGCUCUUCUACCGCAUCUCAGCUAGGUAGCUUCACAACUUUCAAGAUCAUCGGGUAUUUUAUUUGGUUAUAAUGGGGUUAAGGGCAUGUGGCUAAUAUAAAUGAAGGAUAUGAAAUAAGUCAAAAGAAAUCGGUGAAGUAACUCUCUCUUGUAGAGAUAUUAGAAUUUUGCUUUCAAGUGUUAGCUCACCCACUCUAUUCCCAAUAACAACCCACUAACAAGACUAUACAACUUUUUUUUUCUUUUUUUUUCUUCUACAUUUUUCUUUUCUUUUCUUUUUAUCUCUCUAUUUUUUUUUUCACGUUUUCUUUUCUAUACAAAAUCACCACCGUCACACUUAUUCUUUUGUAACCUCACACUAUUGAGUUUUUCUUUCUUUCGAAGCACUCGAACAUAAAGUUACUCUCUCGAGUUGUUUCACCAACUACCAUGGAAGGGUAGGAUAAAAUGUAUAGGCUAGGUAGGAAUUUGUGGUGCUAAAGAAUAAAAAGGCUAAGUAUAUACAUAGGCUCAAAGUGGCAAUCUAAUGGUAUAUCAUUUCGGGCACAUGGCUUCUUUGGCCAUGGUGGUUAUUACUCCUAAUGCCUUAAUCUUUUUCAUCUCGUCAUGAACUACCAAGUUGCCUUGAAGGGUAUGAAGCAAGUUCUAGAGAGACCGUAAUCGCAAAAUUGGCACACAUGAAGAACAAGUAAAUACGAACAAUGCAUAUUUAUCAAUAAGGCUUAAAAUCUCACAAAUAGGUAUGCAAGUCAUACAAGUCUAGAUAUGCUUUCCCUACUUGCCAAAAACUAGUUUGACAUAAGGCUAGCACUCAAGCAUACAAUCGCAUGUCAAAAUUAAUUGCAAUAUAAAUCCUAAGACCUAUAAACAUGCUAUUUCUCUUCAAAGCCACAACUCAUUAAGUUCAUGCUUUUAUCAUUGGGGUCGGAAAGACACUAGACACUACUUAUUUACAUCAAACUAACAAAGAAAGAAUCAAUUAUAUAUAUAUAUAUAUAUAUAUAU